AUGGACCACGGCCUUGCGGUUCCUGGAGCCUGGGGAGGCCGUGCGAGGAAACUAGGGCGGCAAGGUGCCGCCCCUUGCUGCUGCUCCCCCACGCUAGGAGCUCUCCUGGAGCUCCCCCAUGCCUUGAGCUCGCUAGGAGGAGCAGAGGCCUACGCGCUCCCUGUGGCAAUGCCUGGGGUGGUCUGCAAGGAGGAGCAGAGGCUUGGAUCUGCGGGGAGGAGCAGAGGCCUGGAGCCGGCGGCGAGCUGUGGAGGUGACGACGCGAGGGAGGGGAUCGGGAGGGAAAGGGAGGAGCGGAUAGCCAACUUUUGA
rnacentral:rRNA from 1 species